rnacentral:tRNA from 1 species
GAAAAGGUAGUUUAUGUUGAGAAUGUUGUUUUUGUAAAACAGAGGUAUUGUGUGGAUUCUUUUCA